GAUGAACGCUGGCGGUGUGCCUAAUACAUGCAAGUCGAGCGGUAAGGCUCUGCACUUAUUAUUUGAUCGCGGUAAUCUUUAAUGGUUGCUAAAGCGAACUGAUCCCAACUCUAGGCUAGAGAAAGGUGAGGCGAGCGGAGAUCGAAUACUGAGUGUAGAGUACACGAGCGGCGGACGGGUGAGUAACGCGUAAGAAUGUA
rnacentral:rRNA from 1 species